rnacentral:rRNA from 1 species
UACGGAGGGGGCUAGCGUUGUUCGGAAUCAUUGGGCGUAAAGGGCGCGUAGGCGGCCGAUCAAGUCGGAGGUGAAAUCCCUCGGCUCAACUGAGGAACUGCCUUCGAUACUGUUCGGCUUGAGUCCUGGAGAGGGUAGCGGAAGUUCCCGGUGUGAGCGGUGAAAUGACGUAGAGACCGGGAAGAACACCAGUGGCGAAGGCGGCUACCUGGACAGGUACUGACGCUGAAGCGCGAAGCUAGGGGAGC